rnacentral:rRNA from 1 species
CCCUUAGAUGCUCUGGGCCGCACGCGCGCUACACUGAUGCAUUCAACGAGUCUAAAACCUGCUCUGAUAGGGGUGGGUAAUCUUUUGAAUGUGCAUCGUGAUUGGGAUAGAUGAUUGCAAUUUUUCAUCUUCAACGAGGAAUGCCUAGUAAACGCAAGUCAUCAGCUUGCAUUGAUUACGUCCCUGCCCUUUGUACACACCGCCCGUCGCUCCUACCGAUUGAAUGAUCCGAUGAAUAUCAUGGAUUGAGGAUGCAAGCAGGUUCGCCUGUCUUCAUCUUCGAGAAGUGAAGUAAAUCUUAUCAUUUAGAGGAAGGAGAAGUCGCAACA